rnacentral:rRNA from 1 species
UGGGGAAUAUUGCACAAUGGGCGCAAGCCUGAUGCAGCCAUGCCGCGUGUAUGAAGAAGGCCUUCGGGUUGUAAAGUACUUUCAGCGGGGAGGAAGGCGAUAAGGUUAAUAACCUUGUCGAUUGACGUUACCCGCAGAAGAAGCACCGGCUAACUCCGUGCCAGCAGCCGCGGUAAUACGGAGGGUGCAAGCGUUAAUCGGAAUUACUGGGCGUAAAGCGCACGCAGGCGGUCUGUCAAGUCGGAUGGGAAAGCCCCGGGCUCAACCUGGGAACUGCAUUCGAAACUGGCAGGCUAGAGUCUUGUAGAGGGGGGUAGAAUUCCAGGUGUAGCGGUGAAAUGCGUAGAGAUCUGGAGGAAUACCGGUGGCGAAGGCGGCCCCCUGGACAAAGACUGACGCUCAGGUGCGAAAGCGUGGGGAGCAAACA